AGAAUCAACGCUGGCGGCGUGCCUAACACAUGCAAGUCGAACGAGAAAGUGGAGCAAUCCAUGAGUAAAGUGGCGCACGGGUGAGUAACACGUGACUAACCUACCCUGGAGUGGGGGAUAACUGAGGGAAACCUUAGCUAAUACCGCAUAACACUUACGAGUCAAAGCAGCAAUGCGCUUGGAGAGGAGUUCGCGGCCGAUUAGUAGUUGGCGGGUAAUGGCCCACCAAGACGAUGAUCGGUA
rnacentral:rRNA from 1 species